GAUGAACGCUGGCGGCGUGCCUAAUACAUGCAAGUCGAGCGAACGGACGAGAAGCUUGCUUCUCUGAUGUUAGCGGCGGACGGGUGAGUAACACGUGGAUAACCUACCUAUAAGACUGGGAUAACUUCGGGAAACCGGAGCUAAUACCGGAUAAUAUUUUGAACCGCAUGGUUCAAAAGUGAAAGACGGUCUUGCUGUCACUUAUAGAUGGAUCCGCGCUGCAUUAGCUAGUUGGUAAGGUAACGGCUUACCAAGGCAACGAUGCAUAGCCGACCGGAGAGAGUGAUCGGCCACACUGGAACUGAGACACGGUCCAGACUCCUACGGGAGGCAGCAGUAUGGAACCUUCCGCAAUGGUCGAAAGCAUGACGGAGCAACGCGGCGUGAGUUAUGAAGGUCUUGCGAUCGUAAAACUCUGUUAUUAGGGAAGAACAUAUGUGUAAGUAACUGUGCACAUCGUGACGGUACCUAAUCAGAAAGCCACGGCUAACUACGUG
rnacentral:rRNA from 1 species